UACGUAGGUCCCGAGCGUUGUCCGGAUUUAUUGGGCGUAAAGCGAGCGCAGGUGGUUUAUUAAGUCUGGUGUAAAAGGCAGUGGCUCAACCAUUGUAUGCAUUGGAAACUGGUAGACUUGAGUGCAGGAGAGGAGAGUGGAAUUCCAUGUGUAGCGGUGAAAUGCGUAGAUAUAUGGAGGAACACCAGUGGCGAAGGCGGCCUACUGGACGGUGACUGACGCUGAGGCUCGAAAGCGUGGGGAGCAAACAGG
rnacentral:rRNA from 1 species